ACAGUCUUGCAAAUAUGCGAGACCGUUUUCAGUGGCAACCAUAGCAUUUUGCGCAAUUCGCAAUCAACUGGAAGCGUCUAUUUGAAAAAAAGAUUAAGGCUAAACGGCACAUUUCGUUGGUCUGAAAGCCAAACGAAAGACCUUUUGAUAAACAUAGUGGACGCAAUAAAAGAGAAUCCGGACCAUUUUGAGAAACCAACAGCCCAAAGGUUUUACAACAAAAUUGGCGAAAAAGCUCCAAAUUUAAAAAAUAUUAAAUGGAGGACUAAAAUAAGGCAUUUGAAACCGACUUUUUUUAUCUGCGCUCAAGUGGAAAGGCCAGACUGGUGCAGGCUUACUUGAAAGUGGUGAUCCUCAUAGUGUGGAAGAAUACAUAAAAAGAAUAAGUCCUUUUUAUGAAGACCGUCACGUGAUAUUUGGACGUCGCAUAAGUGUUCAGCCACCAGCGAUUUAUCAAUCAACAGAGUUGGUGUCAGCGUUGGACGAUACUUAAAAUAUAACCCAGAGAUAGACCCCGACACAAGUUCUUCGAGUCCGUUACCCAGUCCGUCCGUUAUUAUGUAUCCGUCUGCAAAUGAAGUAGUUAGUCCGCCCGCUAAUUUUGCAUGCACAUCUACACCAAGAAGAAAUAUGAAAAGAUCUCAUAGCAGUUCAAAUCCAUUUUCAUUACUUUUCGAAAUCCAAAAUAAGAAGUUGGAACUGGAAAUGAAAAAAUUGGAAUUUGAAAAAGAGAGAGAGGAAAACAGUUUUCAAUUGCAGAAAUUACGGUUGGAGAAAGAAAUGGAAAAAGUCAGAUUGGAACACGAACGAUUGAAAAGCUAAGUAGCUCAUAAGUUGCCAAGUUGUCUGUAUUCCAAAAAAAAAUUUUUUUCAUUUUGACUUUUUCUUCUUAAUACAUUUGUUGGUUUGUUUUACUUAUAGUGACUUAGUGAUUGUGGUCCACCUUGCUUUUUUUUUACUUUAUGCGUAUUAAGUUAUUUCUAGUCAAAUAAUUUAUGUUACUUGUUUAUGUAAAGA